rnacentral:rRNA from 1 species
AUACGUAUGGAGCAAGCGUUAUCCGGAUUUACUGGGUGUAAAGGGAGCGUAGACGGUGAGGCAAGUCUGAUGUGAAAGGUGUGGGCUCAACCCGCAAACUGCAUUGGAAACUGUCCCGCUUGAGUGUCGGAGAGGUAAGUGGAAUUCCUAGUGUAGCGGUGAAAUGCGUAGAUAUUAGGAGGAACACCAGCGGCGAAGGCGGCUUACUGGACGAUAACUGACGUUGAGGCUCGAAAGCGUGGGGAGCAAACAGGAUUAGAUACCCUGGUAGUCCACGCCGUGAACGAUGAAUACUAGGUGUUGGGGACCAAAGGUCUUCGGUGCCGCAGCAAACGCAAUAAGUAUUUCACCUGGGGAGUACGUUCGCAAGAAUGAAACUCAAAUGAAUUGACGGGG